rnacentral:rRNA from 1 species
AAAUUGAAGAGUUUGAUCAUGGCUCAGAUUGAACGCUGGCGGCAGGCCUAACACAUGCAAGUCGAACGGUAACAGGAAACAGCUUGCUGUUUCGCUGACGAGUGGCGGACGGGUGAGUAAUUUCUGGGAAACUGCCUGAUGGAGGGGGAUAACUACUGGAAACGGUAGCUAAUACCGCAUAA